GAUGAACGCUGGCGGCGUGCUUAACACAUGCAAGUCGAGCGAAGCACUUUUGCGGAUUUCUUCGGAUUGAAGCAACUGUGACUGAGCGGCGACGGGUGAAGGUACGCGUGGUAACCGUGCCUCAUACAGGGGGAUAACAGUUGGAAACGGCUGCUAAUACCGCAUAAGAGCACAGUACCGCAUGGUACCGUGUGAAAAACUCCGGUGGUAUGAGAUGGACCCGCGUCUGAUUAGCUAGUUGGUGGGGUAACGGCCUACCAAGGCGACGAUCGGUAGCCGGACUGAGGGGUUGAACGGCCACAUUGGGACUGAGACACGGCCCAG
rnacentral:rRNA from 1 species